rnacentral:rRNA from 1 species
GAUGAACGCUGGCGGCGUGCCUAAUACAUGCAAGUCGAGCGAACAGACGAGGAGCUUGCUCCUCUGACGUUAGCGGCGGACGGGUGAGUAACACGUGGAUAACCUACCUAUAAGACUGGGAUAACUUCGGGAAACCGGAGCUAAUACCGGAUAAUAUAUUGAACCGCAUGGUUCAAUAGUGAAAGACGGUUUUGCUGUCACUUAUAGAUGGAUCCGCGCCGCAUUAGCUAGUUGGUAAGGUAACGGCUUACCAAGGCAACGAUGCGUAGCCGACCUGAGAGGGUGAUCGGCCACACUAGAACUGAGACACGGUCCAGACUCCUACGGGAGGCAACAGUAGGGAAUCUUCCGCAAUGGGCGAAAGCUUGACGGAGCAACGCCGCGUGAGUGAUGAAGGUCUUCGGAUCGUAAAACUCUGUUAUUAGGGAAGAACAAAUGUGUAAGUAACUAUGCACGUCUUGACGGUACCUAAUCAGAAAGCCACGGCUAACUACGUG